AACGUAGGAGGCGAGCGUUAUCCGGAUUUACUGGGCGUAAAGCGUACGCAGGUGGCUGUGUAAGUCGGACAUGAAAGCUCCUGGCUUAACUGGGAGAGGUGGUUCGAAACUGCAUAGCUUGAGGUUGGGAGAGGGACGUGGAAUUCCCGGUGUAGUGGUGGAAUGCGUAGAUAUCGGGAGGAACACCAGUGGCGCAAGCGGCGUCCUGGCCCACACCUGACGCUGAGGUACGAAAGCGUGGGUAGCAAACAGG
rnacentral:rRNA from 1 species